GUGUGAGCUGACUGUCCCCUGGGAGUAAUUCUGUGACCAUAAUUAGCCACACAGCUCCUCUGGAGGCCCCUCUAAAGGACCCCCAAGCUUGGGCACAUGACCCAAGGUCAGCCAGCAAGAUGCCCUGUCCCGGAAAUUUACAUCUGUGUAUGAGCCACAUGAGAACAGGGAAGCUUGCAGUGAGAGCACAGCGAUUUUCCUGGAACUGCCCCACAAGGCUGUCUCUGAGCCCCUUUUGCUGGGUCCCCAGAGCUGCUGUGGCUCCCAUUCUUCCUGAGGUCUGAGAUUCCAUCUUCCUUCAGUUCUGUAGGAUCCUGAUUGUUACACGAACUGUCCACCUCCAUCCAGAGCCGUGUGGCUUGUAGUGCCUUCUCGUGGCAGGUAUAUUUUCCUGCCUGUUCACGUGACUUGUGUUGGCCAGUGGAAUAUAGUUUGAUCUGCAGUAGUUUGAAUCUGAGGAUGCUGAACCUGUGGAUAAGGAGAGCCUACUUUUCUUGGACAAAUGCCCUGUGUCAGAAGAGUGUGGUAAACAGAAGCUCAGCUCCUUCAAGGAUGACAGCCUUGGUUACACCACCAGUUUCUCUAGGAAAAGAGACCAAAGUCAGGGAGCAGUCGUUUUCACAUGGGAUGAACUCAGUGUAAGAGGCAAGCAGAUUGUGGAAGAUUAGAAGAUAAUGGAUACUAUUAUUCCAUCCAGAUUCCUCUUCAGGACCAAGGACUCAUUUUCCAGCUGGCAGGAAUGUUAGCUACUGAC
rnacentral:lncRNA from 10 species